GGCGUGUGACUGCGUACCUUUUGUAUAAUGGGUCAGCGACUUAUAUUCUGUAGCAAGGUUAACCGAAUAGGGGAGCCGAAGGGAAACCGAGUCUUAACUGGGCGUUAAGUUGCAGGGUAUAGACCCGAAACCCGGUGAUCUAGCCAUGGGCAGGUUGAAGGUUGGGUAACACUAACUGGAGGACCGAACCGACUAAUGUUGAAAAAUUAGCGGAUGACUUGUGGCUGGGGGUGAAAGGCCAAUCAAACCGGGAGAUAGCUGGUUCUCCCCGAAAGCUAUUUAGGUAGCGCCUCGUGAAUUCAUCUCCGGGGGUAGAGCACUGUUUCGGCAAGGGGGUCAUCCCGACUUACCAACCCGAUGCAAACUGCGAAUACCGGAGAAUGUUAUCACGGGAGACACACGGCGGGUGCUAACGUCCGUCGUGAAGAGGGAAACAACCCAGACCGCCAGCUAAGGUCCCAAAGUCAUGGUUAAGUGGGAAACGAUGUGGGAAGGCCCAGACAGCCAGGAUGUUGGCUUAGAAGCAGCCAUCAUUUAAAGAAAGCGUAAUAGCUCACUGGUCGAGUCGGCCUGCGCGGAAGAUGUAACGGGGCUAAACCAUGCACCGAAGCUGCGGCAGCGACACUAUGUGUUGUUGGGUAGGGGAGCGUUCUGUAAGCCUGUGAAGGUGUACUGUGAGGUAUGCUGGAGGUAUCAGAAGUGCGAAUGCUGACAUAAGUAACGAUAAAGCGGGUGAAAAGCCCGCUCGCCGGAAGACCAAGGGUUCCUGUCCAACGUUAAUCGGGGCAGGGUGAGUCGACCCCUAAGGCGAGGCCGAAAGGCGUAGUCGAUGGGAAACAGGUUAAUAUUCCUGUACUUGGUGUUACUGCGAAGGGGGGACGGAGAAGGCUAUGUUGGCCGGGCGACGGUUGUCCCGGUUUAAGCGUGUAGGCUGGUUUUCCAGGCAAAUCCGGAAAAUCAAGGCUGAGGCGUGAUGACGAGGCACUACGGUGCUGAAGCAACAAAUGCCCUGCUUCCAGGAAAAGCCUCUAAGCAUCAGGUAACAUCAAAUCGUACCCCAAACCGACACAGGUGGUCAGGUAGAGAAUACCAAGGCGCUUGAGAGAACUCGGGUGAAGGAACUAGGCAAAAUGGUGCCGUAACUUCGGGAGAAGGCACGCUGAUAUGUAGGUGAAGUCCCUCGCGGAUGGAGCUGAAAUCAGUCGAAGAUACCAGCUGGCUGCAACUGUUUAUUAAAAACACAGCACUGUGCAAACACGAAAGUGGACGUAUACGGUGUGACGCCUGCCCGGUGCCGGAAGGUUAAUUGAUGGGGUUAGCCGCAAGGCGAAGCUCUUGAUCGAAGCCCCGGUAAACGGCGGCCGUAACUAUAACGGUCCUAAGGUAGCGAAAUUCCUUGUCGGGUAAGUUCCGACCUGCACGAAUGGCGUAAUGAUGGCCAGGCUGUCUCCACCCGAGACUCAGUGAAAUUGAACUCGCUGUGAAGAUGCAGUGUACCCGCGGCAAGACGGAAAGACCCCGUGAACCUUUACUAUAGCUUGACACUGAACAUUGAGCCUUGAUGUGUAGGAUAGGUGGGAGGCUUUGAAGUGUGGACGCCAGUCUGCAUGGAGCCGACCUUGAAAUACCACCCUUUAAUGUUUGAUGUUCUAACGUUGACCCGU
rnacentral:rRNA from 1 species